CCUACGGGAGGCAGCAGUGAGGAAUAUUGGUCAAUGGACGAGAGUCUGAACCAGCCAAGUAGCGUGAAGGAUGACUGCCCUAUGGGUUGUAAACUUCUUUUAUAUGGGAGUAAAAUGUUCCACGUGUGGGAUUUUGUAUGUACCAUAUGAAUAAGGAUCGGCUAACUCCGUGCCAGCAGCCGCGGUAAUACGGAGGAUCCGAGCGUUAUCCGGAUUUAUUGGGGUUAAAGGGAGCGUAGGUGGAUUGUUAAGUCAGUUGUGAAAGUUUGCGGCUCAACCGUAAAAUUGCAGUUGAAACUUGCAGUCUUGAGUACAGUAGAGGUGGGCGGAAUUCGUGGUGUAGCGGUGAAAUGCGUAGAUAUCACGAAGAACUCCGAUUGCGAAGGCAGUUCACUGGACUGCAACUGACACUGAGGCUCGAAAGUGUGGGUAUCAAACAGGAUUAGAUACCCGUGUAGUC
rnacentral:rRNA from 1 species